AUGUAAAUUCCUACAAUGUUAAUGCACCAGAUCCCAUUAAAACUCCAUAGUUAAGCGUGCUUGGGCUAGAGUAGUACUGGGAUGGGUGAUCUCACUGGAAUUCCUAGUGUUUUACAUG
rnacentral:rRNA from 1 species